rnacentral:rRNA from 1 species
AUGGUUUAUCUUUCUGUUUGUAGAUUUUCCAGUGAUAUGAGAUUUGGUGAUUCUAUCUAUAUUUCUCUUCACGUUUGCCAUAAUUAUUUGUUCAUCACUUCCAACUCCACACCUGUAGAAAAAGCCAAGCUGAACUACCAGAACUACAGCAGAAGGCGCUUCGCUGAACAAGGCAGGAUGGUACGCCAUCCUGUGAAGCAGCUGUAUAAUGAGCUGCCACAAGCGGCACCGGCACCCGCACAAGCACAGGGGGGCCAUACCUCAUGGUGGCACAGCGAGAAGAUGGUGGGAACCCAGAUUGAGCUCCUGUUAUUACUCUAUGUCGUCAUUGGCGCCAUACAGGUGGUGGGCAAUCGGUACAGGCGCAGCAUCAAUAGCGCCUAUGUUAAGUACCCACUAUGGCUGGCAUACUCUGCCAGCCAACCCUUAGUGGCAUAUACCCUUGGUGUUAUGUACAACUCUCCGUUCAAAGAGACCAAAUCUCUGCUCACUACUAUGUUUGUUGUCGUUGCUUUGGGGAGAGUGAACACGAUGACAGCUUACAAUGUUGAUGACAACAAGCGGUACACCGCCCAGUUCUUCCGGCAUGUCCUGUUUGUGGUGAGCUACAUGUCCAUGGCCAUAACCAUCCCCCACACCUCCGGAUUUUUAGGUUGGAACGCUCUCAUUCACUCCCUGAUCGCGGUGUUCUUUCUGAUCUUCUUUCUGACCAUGAAUGGUGGAAGGACUUGCGCAAAUAUCAUGGCAAGUAGCUUCUCAGACAAGGGGAGCUUAUACCUCCAAACGCAUAUGAAGAUUGACCAACGGGCAUCUGUAGCUUAUGAUCCAGUAUCUCUUGAAGGGUACAACUACCUUGUUUUUUCUUUCGAUCAGAAGAAAGAGCACCGUAAGGAUGAACAGGAGAAGAUUGUGGAGGUGAAUGAGAAUGAUGAUGAGGAGAAGCUGGUAGUGGAGGUGGAUGAGAAGAAUGAUGAUGAGGAGGAGCGGAAGCAUGAAAAGGUUGAUGAAAAUGAUAAUGAAAAGGAGGAGGAGAUCAUGGAGGUGAAGGAGAAGGACGAUGAUGAUGAUGAUGAGGAGGAGGAGCAGAAGCAUGAAAAGGCUGAUGAAAAUGAGAAAGAAAAGGAGGAGGAGAUCGUGGAGGUGAAGGAGAAGGACGAUGAUAAUGAUGAUGAUGAUGAGGAGGAGGAGCAGAAGCAUGAAAAGGAUGAUGAUUAUGAUGAAGGGGAGGAGAAAAGUGAUGAUGAGGACGAACGGGGCCAUAUUACAGUUAGCAUGGUAUGGAGUUCCUCUUCAGGUCCGUUCGGUGGAAGUGAAGGUCCACGACUGAAGGAACUGUGCCUUUCCUUUGCCUUGUUUCAGCUAUUACGGAGGCGUUUCUUUGGGGCCGAUUGCCCUGAAGCGAAGCUUCAGAAAACUCAUGAUCUGGUCUUCAAAGGAUUCCUCUUGGAUGUAGAGAGAAACUACGAAGCUGCAUAUAGGAUAAUUGAGACAGAGCUGGCUUUCACCUACGAUCAUUUCUUCUCCACCACUCAUUCCUUAUUCAGUGCACAUGGUACCAUUAACUUUUUCCUCAGCAUUUUUUGUGUUGCGGUCAUAUAUCCUUCAGGAAUAGUAACAUUGAUCAAGGAUCUCCUGCGCUAUAAACAUGAGUCUCUCAGCUCACCUAGUAGGGUGCCAUGGGGAAGAACAGGCAUUCUGACAGGAGUAGUACUUGUCAUGCUGAGUUUUGCACUUGAGCUGCUACAGCUUUAUGUUCUUAUUUCAUCCGACUGGGCUAAGGUAGAAUUUGCCUGUCGGCUUCCAGGACUAUACUUCGGAAAAAAUCUCCCACAGUUAUUUGGUUAUUGGCAGAAUAAGAUUGGCCAGCACUCGCUAAUUAAGGAUUUGCAUGGAAAAUCAUUCAUCGCUGACCUGGUGGGGUCUUUGUCUUAUUUGUUUCAGUCCUUUCAUUGCUAUACUUCAGCUUUCCCUCGAGGAUUUGAACAUCGUGGUGUUAAGAAGGCAGAUCGCAUUCCAUUGACAGACACCGUCAAGUUGGCCAUUGCUAGAACUCUCAAAGAGAGCAAUGGUCAACUGUCGUGCGGAGUAUCAUCAUUGCGACAGAAUUUUCAAGGUGAAGAAAUUCCAUUAUGGGCAUGCAAUCACGAGACUCCUGCCAGAACCAUGUUGAUUUGGCAUGUUGCAACUGAGUAUUGUGUCAUCGCACAAUGUAAGAUUGCAGAGCUAGAAACUUUGGUACUCAACCAUCAUACUGUUGCCCAAGAAAUAUCAAGUUAUUGCGCAUAUUUGAUGGCGUUUGUGCUAGAAUUGCUCCCGGAUCAUCCUUUGGAGACCACAAAUUGUUUCAUGAAGUGA